CCCAGCCCCUUGCUAUUAGGUCCUCCUGCUUCGUUUUCAUCACGGCCCUUACCAUUAAUCUAAGAUGCAUGCCCUCUGCUUGUUGUUUCUUGUCUAACCCCCACAUUUGAGUAUAAACUCCAUGAGAUCAGGCACAUGUCACCUGAGUUCACCAUCAUAUCCCCGUGCCUAGAACAGUGCCUGGCACCAAGAAGCUCAAAGGCUCAAGAUGAAGGAAGGAAUGAGUGAGUCAACCAACUAAUCAGCCAAAAUAAAGACAACAGAAAGUUUGGUUUCUGCUUUUGUGUUUAGGUACAUACUUUAAAAUCUCAUCUAAAAGCCAAGUGGAAGAAAUGGGUGCUUAUUCUGAGCAGUGCUCUCUACAGUUUGGGACAAAUGAAAAUAAUUAGGGAAAACAGAAGCUUCCGUCCACCGUAUAAAUUCAUACGAACGUCUUCAACACCAGAAGAGCAGCCACCCAAACUUCCAGGUAUCUGUGCUGCCGUGCUGUCUUCUUGGAUUUUACAGUCACCAACAGUGGGUGAAUCUUGAGAAAUGUUCACAGUUUCAGAGAAGCCGCAUCCUCGAAUAUUUAAAAGUGAUACUUAAGAGGAGAACACAGGCAGCAACCUCUUUGACCUCAGCUGGAGCAACUUCUUACUCAACAUAUCGCUGGAGGCAAGGGAAACAAAAGCAAAAAUGAGCUAUUGGGACCUCAUCAAGAUAAAAAUCUUCUGCCCAUAGAAGGAAACGAUCAGCAAAACUCAAAGACAGCCUACGGCCUGGGAGACAAUAUUUGCAAGUGACUUUUCUGAUUAAGGCUUAGUAUCCAAAAUCUAUAAAGAAUUUAUCAAACUCAACACCCCCAAAACAAAUAAUCCAGUGAAGAAAUGGGCAGAAGACAGGAGUAGCCAUUUUUCCAAAGAAAACAUCCAGGUGGCCAAAAGAUACCUGUAAAGAGGCUUGGAUGCCUGGGUGGCUCAGUCAGUUGAGCAUCUGACUUUGGCUCAGGUCAUGAUCUCACGGUUCCUGAGUUAAAAUCCCAAUUUGGGCUCUCUGCUGUCAGCUCAGAGCCUGCUUCAGACCCUUGUCCUCCUCUCUCUCUGCCCCUCCUUUGCUCGCUCACUCAAAAAUGAAUGAACAUAAAAAUUAAAAAUAUAUGUGUGCUCAGCAUCACUCAUCAUCAGGGAAAUACAAAUCAAAACCAUGUUGAGAUACCACCUCACACCUGUCAGAAUGGCUAAAAUCAACAACACAAGAAACAACAGGUGUUGGUGAGGAUGCGGAGAAAGGGAAGCCCUUUUGCACUGCUGAUGGGAAUGCAAACUGGUGCAGCCACUCUGGAGAACGGUAUGGAGUUUCUUCAAAGAAAUAAAAAUAGAACUACCCUAUGAUCCAGCAAUUGCACUACUAUUUACCCAAAGGAUCCAAAAAUACAGAUUCACAGGUGUGCAUGCACCCCAUGUUUAUAGCAGCAUUAUGUACAACAACCAAACUAUGUGGAGACUGAAGAUGUGAGAUACACACACACACACACACACACACACACACACACACACACUAGAAUAUUACUCAGCCAUCGAAAAGAAUGAAAUCUUGCCAUUUACAACAACAGAUGGAGCUAGAAAGUAUUAUUCUAAGUAAAAUAAGUCAGAGAAAGACAAAUACCAUAUGAUUUCACUCCUGUGUUGAAUUUACAAAACAAAACAGACAAAAAUAUGGGAAGGAGGGAAAGAAAGGAGAGAUGGAAAGAAAACACAAGAGACUUGGGGCGCCUGGGUGGCUCAGUCGGUUGAGCGUCCAGCUUCGGCUCGGGUCAUGAUCUCAGGGUUCAUGGGUUUGAGCCCCACGUCAGGCUCUGUGCUGACAGCUCAGAGCCUGGAGCCUGCUUCAGAUUCUGUGUCUCCCUCUCUCUCUGACCCUCUCCUGCUCGCACUGUCUCUCUCAAAUAAAUAAAAAAGCAUUAAAAAUUUAAAAAAACAAGAAGAAAACACAAGAGACUCUUAACGAUAAGAACAAACUGAGGGUUGAUGGAGUGAGGUGGGCGGAUGGGCUAGAAGCAUGAUGGGCACUGAAGAGGGCACUUGUUGUGAUCAGCACUGGGUGUUGUAUGUAAGUGAUGAAUCACUGAAUUCUACUCCUGAAACCAAUAUUGCACUGUAUGUUAUCUAAAAUUUAAAUAAAAAGUUAAAAAAAAAAGG
ensembl:lncRNA